rnacentral:ncRNA from 1 species
ACCACCCACGCGGGAGAGACCGCCCACAGCAGCACGGGCGGCGCCGAAGGGGCAUAUCCUCCCCGGAACCUCUCAGGCAAAAGGACCGCGGGGGCAGG